rnacentral:misc_RNA from 1 species
AAAAAAAAAUCCAAACCAGUGUGAAAGAAGCAGAGAGAAUUUGAGGCGGAGGCAAGGCAAUUAGGCAAACUCAUCAUUAGAAUUAAUUAGAUUAUACCAUAUCUUUCUACACAAAUCUCAUUUUGGUCCCUUCAUUGAGUCCAGCAACAAAAUCAUCCAACAAACGCUGGAAGCAUAGCGAUAGAAAUAUAGAUACACAUAGCAUUUUUUUGGUCUCAAGUCGUCAUCAAUCAUCCACCUCCUCAGAUCCAAUUUGAACCAGAAAUCAACUACCCAACUCUUUUCUCUUCCUUUCUUUUCUUUU